rnacentral:piRNA from 1 species
UGACCGAGGUUUGUGAGGUUUUCCUUGUU